GUAAAAGUNGUAACAAGGUUUCCGUAGGUGAACNUGCGGAAGGAU
rnacentral:rRNA from 1 species